GACGACGCAACGCCGCGUGGAGGACGAAGAUCUUCGGGUCGUAAACUCCUGUCGAGCGGGAAGAAACCCGCGGGGGUGAAUAAUCCCUGCGGCUGACGGUACCGCUAAAGGAAGCCCCGGCUAACUCCGUGCCAGCAGCCGCGGUAAUACGGGGGGGGCAAGCGUUGUUCGGAAUUACUGGGCGUAAAGGGCUCGUAGGCGGCCAACUAAGUCGGAUGUGAAAUCCCCAGGCUCAACCUGGGAACUGCAUCCGAUACUGGAUGGCUUGAAUCCGGGAGAGGGAUGCAGAAUUCCAGGUGUAGCGGUGAAAUGCGUAGAUAUCUGGAGGAAUACCGGUGGCGAAGGCGGCAUCCUGGACCGGCAUUGACGCUGAGGAGCGAAAGCCAGGGGAGCAAACGGGAUUAGAUACCCCGGUAGUCCUGGCCCUAAACGAUGAAUGCUUGGUGUGACGGGUAUCGAUCCCUGUCGUGCCGAAGCUAACGCAUUAAGCAUUCCGCCUGGGGAGUACGGUCGCAAGGCUG
rnacentral:rRNA from 1 species